rnacentral:rRNA from 1 species
GAGUUUGAUCCUGGCUCAGAAUCAACGCUGGCGGCGUGCCUCAGACAUGCAAGUCGAACGAUUAAACUUUCCUUCGGGAAAGAUAUAAAGUGGCGCACGGGUGAGUAACACGUAGGUAAUCUACCUUUGAGUGGGGAAUAACAAUCGGAAACGAUUGCUAAUACCGCAUAAUGCAGCGGCAUCGUAAGAUGACAGUUGUUAAAGGAGCAAUCCGCUUAAAGAGGAGCCUGCGGCAGAUUAGCUAGUUGGUAAGGUAAUGGCUUACCAAGGCUACGAUCUGUAACCGACCUGAGAGGGUGGUCGGUCACACUGACACUGAAUAACGGGUCAGACUCCUACGGGAGGCAGCAGUCGGGAAUUUUGGGCAAUGGGCGAAAGCCUGACCCAGCAACGCCGCGUGAAGGAUGAAGUAUUUCGGUAUGUAAACUUCGAAAGAAUAGGAAGAAUAAAUGACGGUACUAUUUAUAAGGUCCGGCUAACUACGUGCCAGCAGCCGCGGUAAUACGUAGGGACCAAGCGUUGUUCGGAUUUACUGGGCGUAAAGGGCGCGUAGGCGGCAGUUCAAGUCAGUUGUGAAAUCUCCGAGCUUAACUCGGAACGGUCAACUGAUACUGUUUUGCUAGAGUGCAGAAGGGGCAAUCGGAAUUCUUGGUGUAGCGGUGAAA